UAGCCACAAUGUCCCUUGAUAUUUCUGUUAU
rnacentral:piRNA from 1 species